rnacentral:rRNA from 1 species
UCAGGAUGAACGCUAGCUACAGGCUUAACACAUGCAAGUCGAGGGGCAGCGCAGUGCAGCAAUGCACGGGCGGCGACCGGCGCACGGGUGCGUAACGCGUAUCCAACCUUCCCGUUACUCUUGGAUAGCCUUCCGAAAGGGAGAUUAAUACAGGAUGGUGUUCAAAUUCCGCAUGUUAUUUGAACUAAAGAUUUAUCGGUAACGGAUGGGGAUGCGUGACAUUAGGUAGAUGGCGGGGUAACGGCCCACCAUGCCUACGAUGUCUAGGGGUUCUGAGAGGAAGGUCCCCCACACUGGAACUGAGACACGGUCCAGACUCCUACGGGAGGCAGCAGUGAGGAAUAUUGGUCAAUGGUCGGAAGACUGAACCAGCCAAGUAGCGUGAAGGAUGAAGGUUCUAUGGAUUGUAAACUUCUUUUAUACGGGAAUAAAGCCCACUACGUGUAGUGGUUUGUAUGUACCGUAUGAAUAAGCAUCGGCUAACUCCGUGCCAGCAGCCGCGGUAAUACGGAGGAUGCGAGCGUUAUCCGGAUUUAUUGGGUUUAAAGGGAGCGUAGACGGGAUGUUAAGUCAGUUGUGAAAGGCUGCGGCUCAACCGCAGCACUGCAGUUGAUACUGGCGUCCUUGAGUGCGGUUGAGGUGUGUGGAAUUCGUGGUGUAGCGGUGAAAUGCUUAGAUAUCACGAAGAACUCCGAUUGCGAAGGCAGCGUACCAAUCCGUAACUGACGUUGAUGCUCGAAAGUGUGGGUAUCAAACAGGAUUAGAUACCCUGGUAGUCCACACGGUAAACGAUGGAUACUCGCUGUUGGCGAUACAAUGUCAGCGGCCAAGUGAAAACGUUAAGUAUCCCACCUGGGGAGUACGCCGGCAACGGUGAAACUCAAAGGAAUUGACGGGGGCCCGCACAAGCGGAGGAACAUGUGGUUUAAUUCGAUGAUACGCGAGGAACCUUACCCGGGCUCAAACGACAGGGGAAUAUGCGUGAAAGCGCAUAGCUAGCAAUAGUCGCUGUCGAGGUGCUGCAUGGUUGUCGUCAGCUCGUGCCGUGAGGUGUCGGCUUAAGUGCCAUAACGAGCGCAACCCCUGCCUUCAGUUGCUAACAGUUAAGCUGAGGACUCUGGAGGGACUGCCGGCGCAAGCCGUGAGGAAGGAUGGGAUGACGUCAAAUCAGCACGGCCCUUACGUCCGGGGCGACACACGUGUUACAAUGGUCGGCACAGCGGGAAGCCAUAUGGUGACAUAGAGCGGAACCCGAAAGCCGGUCUCAGUUCGGAUCGGAGUCUGCAACUCGACUCCGUGAAGCUGGAUUCGCUAGUAAUCGCGCAUCAGCCAUGGCGCGGUGAAUACGUUCCCGGGCCUUGCACUCACCGCCCGUCAAG